rnacentral:tRNA from 1 species
GGGGCUGUAGCUCAAUGGGAGAGUGCUUGACUGGCAGUCAAGAGGUUAGCGGUUCGAGUCCGCUCAGCUCCACCA